rnacentral:SRP_RNA from 1 species
GCCGGGCACGGUGGCGCGUCCCAGCUACUCGGGAGGCUGAGGUGGGAGGAUCUCUUGAGCCCAGGAGUUCUGGCCUGUAGUGCGCUAUGCUGAUCGGGUGUCCGCACUAAGUUCGGCAUCAAUAUGGUGACCUCCCAGGAGCGGGGAACCACCAGGUUGCCUAAGGAGGGGUGAACCAGCCCAGAUUGGAAGUGGAACAGGUCAAAACUCCUGUGCUGAUCAGUGGUGGGAUAGCGCCUGUAAAUAGCCACUGCACUCCAGUCUGGGUAACAUAGUGAGACCCCACCUCA